ACCCCCGUGAGAAUGCCCUAACAGUUCCCUGCCUGGGAACAAGGAGCUGGUAUCAGGCACAUUACAAUUAGCCCACGACACCUUGCUUAGCCACACCUCCAAAGGAAUUCAGCAGUGAUAAACAUUAGGCAAUAAGUGAAAACUUGACCUAGUGAAAGCUAAGAGGGCCGGUAAAAUUCGUGCCAGCCACCGCGGUUAAACGAAAGGCCCGAAUUGAUAGAAUUCGGCGUAAAGCGUGGUUAAGAGAUAAGCCAAACUAAGAUUAAAUGCUUUUAGUACUGUUAUACGUAUUCAAAAGUUAGAAGCUCGACUACUAAAGUGAUCUUAACUAGACCCUGAACCCACGAAAGCUACGGCACAAACUGGGAUUAGAUACCCCACUAUGCCUAGCCGUAAACAUUGAUAGUCCUAUACACCUACUAUCCGCCUGGGUACUACGAGCACCAGCUUAAAACCCAAAGGACUUGGCGGUGCUUUAAACCCAUCUAGAGGAGCCUGUUCUAUAACCGAUAACCCCCGUCUAACCUCACCCUUCCUUGUUUAACCCGCCUAUAUACCGCCGUCGUAAGCUUACCCUGUGAAGGUUUAAUAGUAAGCGAAAUUAGUACAACUCAGAACGUCAGGUCGAGGUGUAGCAUAUGGAGGGGGAAGAAAUGGGCUACAUUCCUUUAUAAAAGGAAAACGGAUGAUGUACUGAAACGUUAAUCUGAAGGAGGAUUUAGUAGUAAGUAGAAAAUAGAGUGUUCUACUGAAAUUGGCCCUGAAGCAUGCACACACCGCCCGUCACUCUCCCCGAACCUAGCAUCUAAGUAACUAACACAUAUUUAAUAAAAAGGGGAGGCAAGUCGUAACAUGGUAAGUGUACCGGAAGGUGCACUUGGAACAAC
rnacentral:ncRNA from 1 species